GAGGAAAAUAAAAUUGCUCAACACAAGCUUGCUCCGAAUUUAAUUCAUAUUAUAACUCAAACAAGUUUACAUCAGAAGAAACAACAUAGUGAAGAGUAAUGUUUAAAAUAGAAAUGAUAUUACAAAAUCCUAACCCCAAACUAUUUCUUAAAGCAAACUCAAAGCAAAGACAGUAGGGCAACUCUCUCCAAAACAAAAGCCAUAUAGGCAUCUCUCUCAAAGG
rnacentral:lncRNA from 1 species